rnacentral:tRNA from 1 species
GCUUUCGUGGUGUAGUGCUCAGUGCGCUGGACGUAUAUUCCAGAGGUCCGUGGUUCGAUUCCCGGCGAAGGCG